UACACACACACACACACACACACACACACACACACACACACACCAUCCAAGAUCUAGAAUCCCCACUCAGGGACAGAGCACGCACACCUGAAGCCCGGGCGAAUAGCAUAUUACUCACCACCUUCAGAGUGACAUAGCCCAGCAGCCUCUGGACUACAUCCUCAUCCUCCUUGUGAGUCGGUGCUUCUGCUGCCAGAUGAGAGAGAAAAGUCAAGGCUCUUUGGGAAUCUGAAUGCCCUUGCUGCCCAUUUGCGGCAACAGGAUGCUGUGCUCAGCACUGUAACCAGCCAGAAGGACCCACCCUGCCCUCAGGGCACUUACACAGGAGCUUAGACACUGCCACUCAGUCAGAAAAAGAUUCCUUCCUCGAGGGCAGUGUGACAUUUCACUCCACAGCACCGAAGUCUCAAGUGGAAUGUGGCACGGGCUUGUUUUAAGGCCUUCUCCCAGGCCUUCUCCCAAGAGUGGGCGUGGGAAGUGAGCCGCGGCGGAGGGUCCGUGGGGGGGGACGCACAGAGACGGGCAGAAGAGCUUCCCGGAGGGGAGGAGACCCAGAAGGUGGCUUCCUGGGACCAUCUGACCAGGCAGUUCAGCGGACACCGUUCUGGAAUCUUCAAAACUCCCUUUCCUGUGCCUUCCAGAAGCUGCUAUGAGGGGGGAGUGAAGGGAGAGGUGGGCAUUUGCAGUGCUCUGUCCAGUCCCGGGGCACGAGCAGAGGCCCACGGCUUAGGGUCUUCACGAGGGUCCGUGCUGCCUCCGCGUGUUCCUGGCGCCAGGCUGCGCCACUUCAGCACCAAAGACAGCGCCAGAGGGCCCUCCCCGGGCCGCGGGACCUCUGCCUGUGGCUGGGGACGCUGGGGAGGUGGGAAGGUCUGAGUCAGCGUCCUUGGCAACUGUGCUGAGGACGGGAACACCGAGUCUUAGGGAGGAGCACCCGGGUCCCACUCGGACGCCUUGGGGUUUUCCCUCAGGAUAGGACUAACUUCCCUGAGAAGUCCUUCCUCAGCGGCUGGGGCACCGGUUUAGCCCUUCCUGCCCCAUUCUAUCAGAAAGAGGAGGAGACCUUGUGGCAUCUCUUCUCUCUCCCCAGAACUAAUCUCAUUCUUUUAGGUCUAGGUAGAAGGCAGGGAGCCCUGGCUCUCUGAUUUCCAUGUAGGAGCUAACUAAAUAACCCUCAAUUUCAGGGAAAACAUGGAGGGCAUGAAUUACAUUCCUUGCAGUACAUGGACCUUGGAUUUUUUUUUUCCUGUAUUGAGAAUUAAACCCAGGGUCUGGCACACACUAGGCAAGCCCUCUACCACUGAGCUGCAUCUCUGGGCCUUUUAAUUGUAUUUUGAGACAGGGUCUUGCCAAGUUGCCUAGAUGGGCCUGGGACUUGUGAUCCUCCUGUCUCAGCCUCCAGAGUUCUUGGGAUGACAGGUGUGUGCCACUGUGUCUGGCUUGUCAGGGACAUAUUAAAGUCAUGAUGGCUUAGUUCCAUGAUUUAGUUCCAAAUUCCAGUGGGAAUUUCAAGUUCAGGUGAAGGUGGAAGAUGGCCUCAAAGAAUUUCCAGGGCCUCAGAGAUGACAUGAAUUAUGCAAUAAAGACAAACUUGCUAUUCUACCUCUAUGAAA